AAAUGUUAUAGCUCUUCUAGAAUUUGUCUAGCAGAUUUUCCAGUUUUACUAGAAAACCCCA
ensembl:snRNA U7 U7 small nuclear RNA